rnacentral:rRNA from 1 species
UACGUAGGGGGCAAGCGUUGUCCGGAUUUAUUGGGCGUAAAGAGCGUGUAGGCGGCCUUACAGGUCAGCUGUGAAAACUCGAGGCUCAACCUCGGAACUGCCUUCGAUACUGCGGGUCUCGAGUCCGGGAGAGGUGAGUGGAAUUCCUAGUGUAGAGGUGAAAUUCGUAGAUAUUAGGAAGAACACCAGUGGCGAAGGCGGCUCACUGGCCCGGUACUGACGCUGAGGCGCGAAAGCGUGGGGAGCAAACAGG